GCCCAGCUGCCUGUCUGGGCAGAAGACCUCUGUCAAAGCAUGCUCACUGACAAAUGAAAGCCCCCUGUGCUGAGAUUAUGAGGAGCUCUCUGGUCGUGGGAACCUUUAGACAAGGAUAUAUGAGCCUCCCCCUCCUGGCCUGGCAGUGACCCCGGCUCCAAUCCCAGUCCUGCAGCGUGACCACAAUGGGGACAGCUCAUGACUGCUCUUGGCCACGGACCCCAGGGCCCCAAAAGGUGAAAAGUGAGGACAGAGCUCUGGACGUGACCACACCUGAUGGACAUAAGGUGGGAAGAGCUGCUGGAGCAUCCCCGUACAGUGACUUUUGAGGAGCAACAUCACAGAGAAAUGCCAUGGCACGGUGGGGAAUGGCACUGAGAGCUGCUGGCCAUCAGGAUGGAGUCUAAGGAAAGGGAAUAUUUUCAUUAUAAACCUCAUUAUGACAAGUGUGUUGGGGUCUUGCAAGGCUGCAUUGCUAAAUGAAAGAGAAGCAAGCUUCAAAACAGAUAAUGAAUUUCUUCUAACUCGUCUGGAGACUGAAGAGCCAUAAUUCUGAUUGAUCAGAUAUGGUCUGCUUCAGAGAGGCACCAGAUGUGGUCCAGAUUUUAAAUAGAUGCUGCUACUGUCAAAAUGCAUUCGCUCCCUCCUGGUGUAACAAAGUGAAGUCCAUCUGUCUGGAGUUGUGCACUUAUUUUAGUGGUAAUAACAGUUAACAUCAACAAUAAGCUUUGUCUCAUUAGUAUCACAUAAUCCCUACUACCAAGUCCUCAGAUUCUGGUCUCCAUAUUAUCUGCCAUGGAAAAAAUAAAGACCACAGCAGGAGCUAAGAAGGUCAGUGCAUUCUCAGGGUAAUCAGCUGUAGUAAAUUCAAUUCUGACAAGACAAGGCUUGCAAAUGUCUGGGGAAUUAAGGGAUCAUCUAUAAUUUCAUAUGUUGAGUGGGAAAGUGUCCUUCCAAGCAUUUAUUAAUUACAGAUGAGGGUGUGUAUGGUGAUCAUCCUUGGAGAAAUUUCUGCUGAAGCAAAGCAAGAAAAACAGAUUUAACUGUUUGCUGAUAUUUCUAAAGCAAAACUACUGAUCUUCUCACUUGGCCUUGCAAUGGUUUCAGUCAGUAUUCUUUCUCUCCCAAUGUUUAUUUCUCUGUCUUAGCAACAGAUGUCUGUCACCCCUUAUGAAACCUUUUGCAUAAAGGGCUCCUACUGCACCCAAUGGAGGAAGUUGCCUUGGCUUUAGUCUGGCUCAGUGCCCUCACUCCAGGGUUUGCACUGCUUAAGAAGUAACAAGUAAAGAACAACAGACUAAAGAGCUCCACAUUUAGAACGGAACUUUUCACUUGAAGAUCUUGGAGCACUUUGGAAAACUUAAUUUACUCCCCUUUGAGGUCGGUGUUGUUCUUCCUGUUUUGCAGAUGAGGAACUUAAAGCACAGGGAUGUCAGUAGCUAACAUUUUCCAACUUGGGCAACUGAAGUGUUUCCAAGGGCCACCCCCGCUGAGGUUGCAUGAAAGGGCCCUAAGGCAUUUCAGCUGCUGCUGGGUAACACAGAACGCUGCAGGGACUUCAGUGUGGGAGCUGCUGAGCACUGAGGAGGGAACAGGUGUAACAUGGUGGUGAGAGCAAGGAGAAAAGCUGUUUGGAGAUCUCCUGGUCCGUACUCUCCCAUCUCUGUGUGAGGUCUGCUGGUCCUGCUUUCCCAUCUCUGGUGUCUCUGACCCAUGGAGAGAAAGGAUGGAGCUGACCUCAGAUAGGAGCCAUCUCCCCACUGAUGACCUGUGACCACUGACCCCAGCUGAGUUUCCCAUACUUCUGGGCCUUCUGAAGAGCCCAGCUCCUCCCACAGCUGCUGACAUAGCAACAGAGCAAAGCAGAGGGUCUGCAGGGGCCGUCAGCGCUGUGUGGAGAUGGAACUAAUGACUUUGGAUGGGCACUGAGCAGCAGAUCUGGGGGGGCUGCAGUGACACAUGCACCUCCUGCAAAAGGCCACUUAGGUAGAGCCUAGCAAUUUACUGCAUCAGCAUACCAGAAAAUGGCCAGGGUGAAUGGGCCAUUGUACCCAGUGCCUUUAUGGAUGUGACUUCAGAUGAAUCUGCACUGGAUCUGUGUUAUUAAAUGGAAAUGCUUUUCAAGUCUCAAAGGCGGGAAACAUCAGUGUGAGAUGUGCCCUGGCUGGUAUCCCAAGGCCACUGUCAGGUGAGGAACUUCUGGGGGCAAGAGUGUUGGAAGAGCUCACAUCCACAAUAACCAGAAACAGAACCUUUAUUGAGCAGACAGAAGAGGCUCUGGAGCUGAAAUGUGCAGGAAGAUUAAACUCAUCAUGCUGAGAAGUGCUGCCCCAAGGCAGACGGGGGAGUUGCAGAGGAGCUUGCCCUGCCAGUGAACACUCUACCUGUUCACAGAAGAUUAUACACCUUGCUCUAGGGCUGGCAAGCCAGGGCUUAUCUGCUUCAGAACAAAUUCUGACAGAGACUGGGUGCCAUUUCUGUGCCUCAGGCUGCUGCAAGCUAUUCUCCUUCAGCAGCAAUUCUCAUAGGAUCUCAAUCCAAGGUAGGUUUCUUAGCUACCCUGAACUGUAAGAUCCAUUGCAAAAUCUGCAGGCAAUGGUGCUGGCAGCUUAGGAGUUUCCUCUGGGCCUGGCAUGUGCUUAAACUACUCAUGAGCUAUCUGGGCUCCUCAGCUUGAUUUCCAUCCAUGGUUGACUCAUACUUUAUUUCAAGGAUUGUUUGCAUUUUUAUGCCUCUGAGACUGGGUCCCGUGGGAAUCCUUCCCAAACUCACUACAUUGACCUCCUGUUUUUCCAGCACAUAACCCCUUCUCAGAAGAGGUCAUUUGAUCCUCCACCAUAAAUACAUGAAUCAACACUUUAUACUUUUAUGGGAUUUUGCCUGAGUUUUCCAGUUUCACAGCACCUCUGAAGGUGGGUUCAGGGUUUGAUGGUGCCCAAAAAACUUGGUCUAGUGGGUAGCAUCCCUGCCCAUGGCAGGAGGUUGGAACUAAGUGGGUUUUAAUGUCCCUUCCAACCCUAACCUUUCUAUGAUUCUGUGGUUCUAUGGUUCUGUGGUUCUAUGAUUCAGGCCAUUGUGCUAGAGUGAGGUUCAAGGGAAGAAAUCAGAGGAGCAUUUUGAGAAAGCUUCACCAAUUCUCCAGGUAAAUCAGUCAGUCACAAGUGUUACCUUGGCCCCAGCCUGUUAACAAGCUUGAAACUCAUUACCUAAAAGACCUAACCAAAUAGUUUACUGAGAUAGACAACUCAGAGACAGGUACAGGAUGGGGAACAGAUCUGCUAUAAAUCUCUUCUGGCCCUAUGGGAAGGCCAAACACCUCUGUCAAGUCUUUAUUUGUACAUGACUGAAACAAAUUCAGUCCCACCCUACUGAUGGAGGGCAGUCUGUGAAAGUCGAGCU